rnacentral:rRNA from 1 species
AUGUCGGAGAAGCUGGCUCAUCCGGACGCCAUCUGCCUUACCCUAGGAAAAAUUUGGUGCCCGAUCAAGAGUAUCGACUGCAAGGAGAUUGGCGUGAAUCAAUUCCUGUUCACGUUCCAUCAGGAGUCGGGGAAGCAGAAGGCACUUAAGAACGGGCCAUGGAUGUUCGAUAAAGACCUGAUGGUGGUGGAAGAGUACGUUCCAAAGAAGAGGCCCGAAGACUAUGUGUUCAAUGAUAUCCCGAUCUGGGUUAGGGUUUACAAUUUGCCCCUGGGUAUGAUGAAUGUGGACUCUGCGGAGGAUAUUGGCAAUAUCAUUGGAAAGUUUGUUGAGGCGGGCACUGGAGCUGAUGGGAGUGCUAUAGGGAGGUUCCUCUGGGUUAAAAUCCGUAUGAGGAUUGAUAAACCACCGAUGAGAGGCUUCACUUUAGAGGAUGAGGAGAAACAGAAUGAUGGGGAUCAGAUGGAGCAGGGAGAAAGUGGGAAGGAGGAGGGAGAGGAAGGACGAGACUGGUGCAGAUUCGAGUAUGAGUAUCUCCCGGACUUUUGCUAUAUUUGUGGGAUCAUAGGGCAUGGAGAGAAAGACUGUUCGAUGAAGGCGAAGAAGGGGGAUAAACAGCAAUAUGGGAGAUGGCUGAAAGCUGAUUUGGGCCAUAGGAGAGGUGGUCAGACGAAGGGGUGUGGAGGGCUGGGCUAG